rnacentral:rRNA from 1 species
GAGUUUGAUCCUGGAUCACAUUGAACGCUGGAGUGUUGCUUUACACAUGCAAGUCGAACGGCAGCAUAUGUGCUUGCACCUGAUGGCCAGUGGCCGAACGGGUGAGUAAUGCAUCGGAACGUGCCCAGUCAUGGGGGAUAACGCACCGAAUGCUGUGCUAAUACCGCAUACUAUCUAUGGAUGAAAGCGGGGGACCUUCGGGCCUCGCGAGAUUGAAGCGGCCGAUGUUAUAUUAUGUACCUGGUGAGGUAAAGGCUCACCAAGCCUACCAUCUAUAGCUGGUCUGAGACGACGACCAGUCGCACUGGAACUGAUACACGGUCCACACUCCUACUGGAGGCAGCAGUGGGGAAUUUUGGACAAUGGGCGAAAGCCUGAUCCAGCAAUACCGCGUGCAGGAAGAAUGCCUUCGGGUUGUAAACUGCUUUUGUACGGAACGAAACGGUCUAGAUUAAUACUCUGGGCUAAUGACGGUACCGUAAGAAUAAGCACCGGCUAACUACGUGCCAGCAGCCGCGGUAAUACGUAGGGUGCAAGCCUUAAUCCGAAUUACUGGGCGUAAAGCGUGCGCACGCGGUUUUGUAACACACGCUUGAAAUCCCCGGGCUCCACCUGACAAUUGCCCUUGUGACUGCUAGGCUAGAGUACAGUAGAGGGAGGUAGAAUUCCUCGUGUAGCAGUGAAAUGCGUACAUCUGCGGAGGAACACCCAUCGCGAAUGCAGCCCUCUGGACCUGUACUGACGCUCAUGCAUGAAGUCGUGGGAGCAAACAGGAUUAGAUAUCUGCGUAGUCCACCCUCUAAACGAUGUCAACUGGUUGUUGGGAAUUUACUUUCUCAGUAACGAAGCUAACGCGUGAAGUUGACAGCCUGGGGAGUACGGCCGCAAGGUUAAAACUCAAUGGAAUUGACGGGGACCCGCACCAGCGGUGGAUGAUGUGGAUUAAUUCGAUGCAACGCGAAAAACGUUACCUACCCUUGACAUGUGAGGAAGUUGUGAGAGAUCACUGGGUGCCCGAAAGGGAACCUCAACACAGCUGCGGCAUGGCCGUCGUCAGCUUGUGUCGUGAGAUGUUGGGUUAAGUCCCGCAACGAGCGCAACCCUCGUCAUUAGUUGCUACAUUUAGUUGAGCACUCUAAUGAGACAGUCGGUGACAAACCGGAGGAAGGUGGGGAUGACGUCAAGUCCUCAUGGCCCUUAUGGGUAGGGCUUCUCACGUCAUACAAUGGUGGGUACAGAGGGUUGCCAACCCGCAAGGGGGAGCCAAUUCCAGAAAGCGCGUUGUAGUCCGGAUUGUUCUAUGCAACUCGAGAACAUGAAGUGGGAAUCGCUAGUAAUCGCGGAUCAGCAUGUCGCGGUGAAUACGUUCCCGGGUGUUGUACACACCGCCCGUCACACCAUGGAAGUAGGCUCCACCAGAAGUAGCUAGCCCAACCGUAAGGAGGGCGGUUACCACGGUGAGGUUUAUGACUGGGGUGAAGUCGUAAGCAAGGUAACC